rnacentral:rRNA from 1 species
AACGAACGCUGGCGGCAUGCCUAACACAUGCAAGUCGAACGAUCCCUUCGGGGAUAGUGGCGCACGGGUGCGUAACGCGUGGGAACCUGCCCUUAGGUUCGGAAUAACUCAGAGAAAUUUGAGCUAAUACCGGAUAAUGUCUUCGGACCAAAGAUUUAUCGCCUUUGGAUGGGCCCGCGUUGGAUUAGCUAGUUGGUGGGGUAAAGGCCUACCAAGGCGACGAUCCAUAGCUGGUCUGAGAGGAUGAUCAGCCACACUGGGACUGAGACACGGCCCAGAAUCCUACGGGAGGCAGCAGUGGGGAAUAUUGGACAAUGGGCGAAAGCCUGAUCCAGCAAUGCCGCGUGAGUGAUGAAGGCCUUAGGGUUGUAAAGCUCUUUUACCCGGGAUGAUAAUGACAGUACCGGGAGAAUAAGCCCCGGCUAACUCCGUG